GACGAACGCUGGCGGCGUGCUUAACACAUGCAAGUCGAACGGAAAGGCCCUGCUUUUGUGGGGUGCUCGAGUGGCGAACGGGUGAGUAACACGUGAGUAACCUCCCCUUGUCUUUGGGAUAAAUUCACGAAAAUGGGGCUCAUACCGGAUAGGAGAUAUUGCUGCAUGGUGGGGGUUGGAAAGAUUCGGCGGUUGGGGCUGGUCUCGCGGCUUAUCCGCUUGUUGGUGGGGUAGUGGCUUACCAAGGCUACGAAGGGUAGCCGGCCUGGGAGGGGGGCCGGCCACAUUGGUACUGAGGUACGGCGCAGACGCCUACGUUAGGCAGCGGUGGGGAAUAUUGCACAGUGGGCGGGAGCCUGAUGCAGCAACGCUGCGUGCGGAAUGCCCGCCUUCGGGUUGUAAACCGCUUUCGCCUUUGACGAAGCGUGAGUGACGGUAAUGGGUAAAGAAGCACCGGCUAACUACGUG
rnacentral:rRNA from 1 species